rnacentral:rRNA from 1 species
CCUACGGGAGGCAGCAGUGGGGGAUAUUGCACAAUGGGGGGAACCCUGAUGCAGCGACGCCGCGUGGGUGAAGGAGUGCUUCGGCAUGUAAAGCCCUAUCGGCAGGGAAGAAGCAAGACGGUACCUGACUAAGAAGCCCCGGCUAACUACGUGCCAGCAGCCGCGGUAAUACGUAGGGGGCGAGCGUUAUCCGGAUUCACUGGGUGUAAAGGGAGCGUAGACGGCCAUGCAAGCCAGGGGUGAAAGCCCGGGGCCCAACCCCGGGACUGCCCUUGGAACUGGGCGGCUAGAGUGCGGGAGGGGCAGGCGGAAUGCCUGGUGUAGCGGUGAAAUGCGUAGAUAUCAGGAGGAACACCGGCGGCGAAGGCGGCCUGCUGGACUGCGACUGACGUUGAGGCUCGAAAGCGUGGGGAGCGAACAGGAUUAGAUACCCUGGUAGUC